rnacentral:tRNA from 1 species
GGUGGUGUGGCUGAGCGGUCAAAGGCGCUGGAUUAAGGCUUCAGUCUCUUCGGGGCCAUGGGUUCGAAUCCCACCACUGCCA